ensembl:lncRNA
CGGAAGGGAAGGAUGGGGGACAGACGAACGAGGAAGAGAGAGAUGAGAAGGAAAAGGAGGGUUGAAGAAGGGGUUGUCCCGACUCCAGAUCUAUUGCUCUGACCACUGGGAUACCUAGCUGCCCCCUUGGGGAGAUUUUUAUGGUGACUUGGGAUGACAGCAGCAGAGGGAACUCCCGGAGAGGAAACUCUUCACCAAUGCAAAUGACUGCUCUAUAGCUGGGAAUUCGUACUGCAGUCACCGCGCAGAGGCCCAGAGCCACCAAGUAUGUAUGUGUGUGUGUGUCUCAUGCCUAUCAAGCUAGCUAGCCCUGAUUCAUGAACCGGGGCCUCAAGUAUGGAACACCUGGCUUCAAGGGCCACCUCCCUGCCUUCCUCGGGCAAGUCCUGUCCUUCCUCGGUUUCCUCCACUGUAACAGGAGGGAUUGGAUUUCUAUCAGCCGAAGAGGCCCCUUCCUGCUCCUCUCGAAGACUCCAUCCACCAAGUACUUCCAAAGCGCGUUCCACUGACUCCCCCUCGGGAAUGGGGAGUCUUUCAGUUGAGACAAUCAACUCCACUUGGCAGAUGAAGAAAUUGAAGUGCAGAGCAGGAAAAUGACUUGCCCAGGGUCACUCUGGGGUGAGCCUCAGUUGAGGACGCGCGGGGUCCGGAGACGGGGGGCGGGGUCUGCCCGAACCCCCGCCCCCAACCAACUCCGCCCCCCACCUUCCAGGACAACAGGUGUCUGAGAACCGGGCUUGGAGGGGGGGCGCAUGCUCCGCGGGGGAGGGGUGGAGAGACCCCGGGCUGUCACCGCCUCCUAGCGCGCGGCCCCAAGGGCCCAGGCCUCGCUGUCAGCGCGCCCCGCCCCCCCGCCUCCGGCUCCGCCCCCCUGCUCCGGCCCCAACUCCAGCAGAAGCCAGAGUCGGAGCCCGGACCCCAAGCAGGCAGCGGCGGCGGCACGCGGGACUGGGCACCGAUGGAAACCUCCUCCCUCCGGGGCUCGGUUCAGCUCCUCUGGGAGGGCCUCCUCCGGGAUAAGAAACAUGCCACCUGUCCAAAUCCAGAAAGUGAACUGUUUGGAGAAGACAGCACAAAGAUGCCUACACAGACAAUAGGAUGCACCAGAAGAUCCACAGUGAACUUUGGGAUUUUGUUGUUUGAACUAUGUGGAGUUGAAUGCAUUUGUGUGGUAUAUAUACUCUUAUGCUGAAGGGGACUGCUCCCUAACUGACUUUUUGUCAAUUUGCCUAGCAAUCAUUGGUUUUGUUCUCUUUUCCUUUUAUCCCCAAAUUACCAUUGGAGAGACUAGUCUUCCAUGGAUCUCAGGGGUGAAUGAAUAAUUGAAAAUCUGUUACCCUAAAAAAGAACUAUAUUUUCCAGGAACCCACUGACUUCCUGUCAUUAUGUACUUCCUUGUAGACAGGGGAUAUUAGGUGGGGACAUGGAGGAUCCCACCCUCUUUGGCUAGCAGCAAGCAUGGUGGCAGUGGUGAGUAAGGUUUGAACUGGUGAUCAAACAUAGGGAUGUGGUCUUUAUUUGUAUCCCUUUUAUUCCUUUAUUUCUAAUGAUCUUUAAUAAAUCUCCUGAAAUAUAUUUUUAUUAUUGACA